GGUUUUUGGCUUUAAACCGGAAGCGGAAGUUCCUGUUACUCCUAGUUUGAAUGGCGUGUGUGUGAGUCUGUGUGCUUAGGUAGGUGAGUGAGUGAGUGAGUGAGUGAGUGAGUUUGUCUCUUUUAAAAACCUACACACUGAUCUUAUUUGAUCCGGUCAGAAGUGGGCUCUGCUCUGACCGGACAUGAUAGGAAACUCGCUGGCGAGCCUUCGUGGCGAUGUGCAGCCGGCAGAAACCUCCAGGGCCUCCACGCUCCGUGCCGUGGUUAGAGGUGAUGAAUUGAUCAGAUAUACUAGCCCUGUGAGAGCUCGAGUUCAUCUCAAGCUUCACGGUGGACAAUGAGUAAAGAGGCGAUUCUGAUCUAA